GGGGGAAAUUGUUGGACAAUUGGUAGUUGGAUCAGUGUGUCAAAAUUUUAGGGAUUUGGCAUUUCAAAGCUAUAAUUCAAAGUACUCCCAGCUGCUCAUUUCCAAUGGUUCACCACUACAGCCAAUUAGAACAUGCCCCAAGACUCUGAAGCUCUAAAUAGAAAGUGCUUAUCUUAAAUUCAUUUGCUUUUUGCAAUUUUCGGUAUGAGUCAAUUGAAAUAUGAGUGGUUAAUAAAAG
rnacentral:misc_RNA from 1 species